GUGCAAUUAAUUAUCAGAUGCCCCUGCUCCGCGGGGACUUACUACAGACAAUUGCAAUCUGCAUACCAGAUCUGUUCUAUGUCAGAUGAUCUUUCAGAUGGAUGUUGAGUAAUUUCAUGCAAAUAUGAAAGAUCGUUCAAAGGAGACGGAACGUUAUCUACCUGCGUGCUCUCUACCAGUGGUGCCCCUUGAAGUAAUACUGGGUUGUCAUGUGCUUCUUUCUUAAGAUUCAGAAUACUGGGAUGUGAUGUACCUUGAAGUUCAGGUUCUAAUAAAUAUUUGCCUUGGUCAAAGGAAAGC